GGCUGGAUGGCCGAGUGGUCUAAGGCGUUGGAUUUAAGUCCCAAUGGGAGCAAUCCCGCGCGAGUUCGAACCUCGCUUCAGCCA